rnacentral:rRNA from 1 species
UGCCAGCCGCCGCGGUAAUACGGAGGGUGCAAGCGUUGUUCGGAAUCACUGGGCGUAAAGCGUGCGUAGGCGGCCGGGUAAGUCGGAUGUGAAAGCCCAGGGCUCAACCCUGGAACUGCAUUCGAUACUGCUCGGCUUGAGUAUAGGAGAGGGAAGCGGAAUUCCUGGUGUAGCGGUGAAAUGCGUAGAUAUCAGGAGGAACAUCUGUGGCGAAAGCGGCUUCCUGGCCUAUUACUGACGCUGAGGCACGAGAGCGUGGGGAGCAAACAGGAUUAGAUA